UACGUAGGGGGCAAGCGUUAUCCGGAUUUACUGGGUGUAAAGGGAGCGUAGACGGAGCAGCAAGUCUGAUGUGAAAGGCGGGGGCUCAACCCCCGGACUGCAUUGGAAACUGUUGGUCUUGAGUACCGGAGAGGUAAGCGGAAUUCCUAGUGUAGCGGUGAAAUGCGUAGAUAUUAGGAGGAACACCAGUGGCGAAGGCGGCUUACUGGACGGUAACUGACGUUGAGGCUCGAAAGCGUGGGGAGCAAACAGG
rnacentral:rRNA from 1 species